rnacentral:rRNA from 1 species
UACGAGGGGGCAAGCGUUGUUCGGAUUCACGUGGCGUAAAGGGUGCGUAGGUGGCGGGGUAAGUUUGAUGUGAAUACUCCGAGCUCAACUCGGAAAUGGCAUUGAAUACUACUCUGCUCGAGGUUUGGAGGGGGACUGGAAUUCUCGGUGUAGCAGUGAAAUGCGUAGAUAUCGAGAGGAACACCAGUGGCGAAGGCGAGUGCCCUGGACAACACCUGACACUGAGGCA